UACAGAGGGUGCGAGCGUUGUCCGGAAUCACUGGGCGUAAAGGGCGCGUAGGUGGCGCCGCAAGUCCAUGGUGAAAGCUCGAUGCUCAACAUCGAGUCGGCCACGGAGACUGCGGGGCUCGAGCACUGUAGGGGCAGAUGGAAUUCCAGGUGUAGCGGUGAAAUGCGUAGAUAUCUGGAGGAACACCGGUGGCGAAGGCGGCAUCCUGGACCAAUUCUGACACUGAGGAGCGAAAGCCAGGGGAGCAAACGGG
rnacentral:rRNA from 1 species